rnacentral:pre_miRNA from 1 species
AGUUUGUAUCCUUUGACAGAUACGCGUAUUUCGACCUCAACUGUAAGGCCGUCUUCAGUGUCGAGUCUAGUACACGACACUGAAGACGGCCUUACAGUUGAGGUCGAAAUACGCGUAUCUGUCAAAGGAUACAAACUC